GCUGCUGUACUAGCCACAGCCGGCCCUUGGCUUCGACUACCUGGCCUCCCUCCUUGGUCCGCGACGCAACCGCGGUGGUGAUGCUCUGCCUUGGCUACAAGCUAUUCAGGUGGUGGCGAAUGGACAAACGAGACGCCGACGGAGCCUUGUUCUUGGACCUGCGGUGGUAGAUAGCCAUUUGGGACUGACACGACGUCGGAGGAGCAGUGGUGCAUGGAGCGGUCGACGAACAAGUUGGGUGGUGAUAGAGAAGGAAUGGAGAGUUGUGAUGCUAGCAUUCUGUUUCAGGCACCCGGCGCGGCCAAGAUUUUGUACCAAUGUUGCUGUGUAUUGUAGUUUCGCUGAUGGUCAGGCCGUAUGUUGAGUUGAAUUCUUUAUAGGUAUUUAAAUGCUUUAGAGGAUGUUACGUGAUGUGAAUGUACAUGAGCAUGCACUUGAGAAUUGGAUUGAGUGUUGGAGCUACUAGUUGUUUCGUAUGUUUCCAGCUUGACUGUAAACAAGUAGGAAGAAGAAAUUGUUUAUGUGUUGCCAGACAGAUAGGAAGUAAGAAUAGGAAGUAAGAACCUCUGAGGUAACAAACACCACAUUAUCGGUGAUAAUUGCAAAUUUGUAGUAUUAGGUAUCCUCCGUGAUGUAAAUGCCUGGAAAACAGGGAAAUGCAUCCUCUAUAUAGAUUUUUGCUGUACGAAA